rnacentral:rRNA from 1 species
AUUGAACGCUGGCGGCAGGCCUAACACAUGCAAGUCGAGCGGAUGAGGGUAGCUUGCUACCUGGUUCAGCGGCGGACGGGUGAGUAAUGCCUAGGAAUCUGCCUGGUAGUGGGGGACAACGUUUCGAAAGGAACGCUAAUACCGCAUACGUCCUACGGGAGAAAGUGGGGGAUCUUCGGACCUCACGCUAUCAGAUGAGCCUAGGUCGGAUUAGCUAGUUGGUGGGGUAAAGGCUCACCAAGGCGACGAUCCGUAACUGGUCUGAGAGGAUGAUCAGUCACACUGGAACUGAGACACGGUCCAGACUCCUACGGGAGGCAGCAGUGGGGAAUAUUGGACAAUGGGCGUAAGCCUGAUCCAGCCAUGCCGCGUGUGUGAAGAAGGUCUUCGGAUUGUAAAGCACUUUAAGUUGGGAGGAAGGGCAGUAAGUUAAUACCUUGCUGUUUUUGACGUUACCGACAGAAUAAGCACCGGCUAACUCUGUGCCAGCAGCCGAC